UACGGAGGGUGCAAGCGUUUAUCCGGAUUUACUGGGUUUAAAGGGUGCGUAGGUGGGCGAGAAAGUCAGUGGUGAAAUCUCCGGGCUUAACCCGGAAACUGCCAUUGAUACUAUUUGGUCUUGAAUACUUUGGAGGUAAGGCGGAAUAUGUCAUGUAGCGGUGAAAUGGCUUAGAUAUGACAUAGAACACCAAUUGGCGCAGGCAGCUUACUACACAGUAAUUGACACUGAGGCACGAAAGCGUGGGGAUCAAACAGG
rnacentral:rRNA from 1 species